UUGUUCUCGGCUGACAUUUGGGAGUUUUUGGAGGUUAAACUUGGUGCAGUAACCUGAACCGAAAUGGGGAUUCAAGCUAUAGUAUUGUACAAGGUUUGGCAACCACCUCGAGCUGAAUAUGGGGACUUCGUGGGGCUGAAUUGAGAUGAUCUAGGAGUGCUUCCCCCUUGGAUUGAUGCAGGUUUGGGCUUUAGUCUAAACCUAGGAGACUUGGAGACUUCGAAUUCUUGCAGUUGCAACGUGAACAAGAGUCGUCGAC